ACGAACGCUGGCGGCGUGCUUAACACAUGCAAGUCGAACGGAAAGGCUCCAGCUUGCUGGAGUACUCGAGUGGCGAACGGGUGAGUAACACGUGGGUAAUCUGCCCUGCACUCUGGGAUAAGCCUGGGAAACUGGGUCUAAUACUGGAUAUGACCUUUCUCCUUAUGGGGUUUGGUGGAAAGUUUUUCGGUGUAGGAUGAGCCCGCGGCCUAUCAGCUUGUUGGUGGGGUGAUGGCCUACCAAGGCGACGACGGGUAGCCGGCCUGAGAGGGUGAUCGGCCACAUUGGGACUGAGAUACGGCCCAGACUCCUACGGGAGGCAGCAGUGGGGAAUAUUGCACAAUGGGCGGAAGCCUGAUGCAGCGACGCCGCGUGAGGGAUGACGGCCUUCGGGUUGUAAACCUCUUUCAGCAGGGACGAAGCGUAAGUGACGGUACCUGCAGAAGAAGCACCGGCUAACUACGU
rnacentral:rRNA from 1 species